CCUACGGGGAGCUGCAGUGGGGAAUAUUGGACAAUGGGCGAAAGCCUGAUCCAGCCAUGCCGCGUGUGUGAAGAAGGCCUUCGGGUUGUAAAGCACUUUCAGUGGGGAAGAAAGCCUUGGGGCUAAUACCCUCGAGGAAGGACAUCACCCACAGAAGAAGCACCGGCUAACUCCGUGCCAGCAGCCGCGGUAAUACGGAGGGUGCGAGCGUUAAUCGGAAUUACUGGGCGUAAAGCGCGCGUAGGCGGUCUGAUAAGCCGGUUGCGAAAGCCCCGGGCUCAACCUGGGAACGGCAUCCGGAACUGUCAGGCUAGAGUGCAGGAGAGGAAGGUAGAAUUCCCGGUGUAGCGGUGAAAUGCGUAGAGAUCGGGAGGAAUACCAGUGGCGAAGGCGGCCUUCUGGACUGACACUGACGCUGAGGUGCGAAAGCGUGGGUAGCAAACAGGAUUAGAUACCCCUGUAGUC
rnacentral:rRNA from 1 species